UAAAUGGGUACAACAGUUGCUUAAAAUAUAAAUCUUAUGACUAAUCCAUUACAGGUCUUUGUGUGCUUGAGACGAGAGGAGGCAACAGCGCAAGCAAAGCGCCUAGAUCCUUCCAGGUUGAUAAGAUGGAGGGAAAGCGGGAAAAAAGCCGGAGCGAUGAUGAUAAGGAGCCCCCUCCCUCAAAGGGGCACCAUAUAAGUGAUAUAAUAUAUGUGUGCAGAUGGGCGUGCAGCAGGAGCGUACUGAAGACGGAGGCAGAAGGAAGGAUCCAUGAUGGGCAGCAGACAGCGUGAGGGCAAAAUGCAGUAGUUUUGCGGAAAAACGGAGCAAAGUUGCUGAUGACGAUACGUAAGCCAGAUGAUUGUGAAGAUCCGAGGAUGUGAGUUUAAUGAGUUACAGAUGUGUGAUAAGUUAAGUAGAUUAAGUGUUCCAAAUGAUUUAGAUUGAUUAGUGUGUGUAUUAUGUAAGAAUUAUUAUAAGUGGAAUAAUUGUUUUGGUUAACAAGUAUAUUAUUGAUGAAAAGUGUAAUAAUGAUGAAAUGGUGAAUAGUAAAGAUUAUGUAUUUUGAAUAAAAUGUGAUUUAAGUGGUGUUUGGAUAA